rnacentral:rRNA from 1 species
GACGAACGCUGGCGGCGUGCCUAACACAUGCAAGUCGAGCGGUAAGGCCCUUUCGGGGGUACACGAGCGGCGAACGGGUGAGUAACACGUGGGUGACCUGCCCUCAGCUCUGGGAUAAGCCUGGGAAACUGGGUCUAAUACUGGAUAUGACUCCACGGUGCAUGUCGUGGGGUGGAAAGCCUUGUGCGGCUGAGGAUGGGCCCGCGGCCUAUCAGCUUGUUGGUGGGGUGAUGGCCUACCAAGGCGACGACGGGUAGCCGGCCUGAGAGGGCGACCGGCCACACUGGGACUGAGACACGGCCCAGACUCCUACGGGAGGCAGCAGUGGGGAAUCUUGCGCAAUGGGCGAAAGCCUGACGCAGCGACGCCGCGUGAGGGAUGACGGCCUCGGUUGUAAC